ACGCUCGACACCUACGGGAGCAGCAGUGGGGAAUAUUGCACAAUGGGGGAAACCCUGAUGCAGCGACGCCGCGUGGAGGAAGAAGGUCUUCGGAUUGUAAACUCCUGUUGUUGGGGAAAAAGAGGAUGGUACCCAACAAGGAAGUGACGGCUAACUACGUGCCACAGCCGCGGUAAUCUGAGCGGGCUGGCAAGGC
rnacentral:rRNA from 1 species